rnacentral:rRNA from 1 species
GACGAACGCUGGCGGCGUGCUUAACACAUGCAAGUCGAGCGGAAAGGCCCUGCUUUUGUGGGGUGCUCGAGUGGCGAACGGGUGAGUAACACGUGAGUAACCUGCCCUUGACUUUGGGAUAACUUCAGGAAACUGGGACUAAUACCGGAUAGGAGCUCCUGCUGCAUGGUGGGGGUUGGAAAGUUUCGGCGGUUGGGGAUGGACUCGCGGCUUAUCAGCUUGUUGGUGGGGUAGUGGCUUACCAAGGCUUUGACGGGUAGCCGGCCUGAGAGGGUGACCGGCCACAUUGGGACUGAGAUACGGCCCAGACUCCUACGGGAGGCAGCAGUGGGGAAUAUUGCACAAUGGGCGGAAGCCUGAUGCAGCAACGCCGCGUGCGGGAUGACGGCCUUCGGGUUGUAAACCGCUUUCGCCUGUGACGAAGCGUGAGUGACGGUAAUGGGUAAAGAAGCACCGGCUAACUACGUG